rnacentral:rRNA from 1 species
CCUACGGGAGGCUGCAGUGGGGAAUAUUGCACAAUGGGGGGAACCCUGAUGCAGCGACGCCGCGUGGGUGAGGAAGGACUUCGGGAUGUAAAGCCCUAUCAGCAGGGAAGAAAAUGACGGUACCUGACGAAGAAGGCACGGCUAACGACGUGCCAGCAGCCGCGGUAAUACGUAGGGGGCAAGCGUUAUCCGGAUUUACUGGGCGGAAAGGGAGCGUAGACGGCGUGCCCAGUGUGGUUUGAAAGGCCGGGGCUCAACCCCGGGACUGCAUUGGAAACUGGCAUGCUGGAGUGCCGGAGGGGCAAGCGGAAUUCCUUGUGUAGCGGUGAAAUGCUUAGAUAUUAGGAGGAACCCCGGUUGCGAAGGCGGCUUGCUGGACUGUAACUGACGUUGAGGCUCGAAAGCGUGGGUAGCAAACAGGAUUAGAUACCCUUGUAGUC